rnacentral:snRNA from 1 species
AACUUUGCACAGUGGCAGUAUUGUAACCAGUAAGGUUUAUCUGAGGAUCAAUUAUUGCUAAUUGAGAAGCUUGCAAAUCUAUCUAUGCCAUGUAUCACUAAUGGAUAUCCAUAUAU